UCUUCUUCUCCUCCAGACAGGUACCUGGAACUAAAGCUUUUGCUCUUUAACUCCCUGUACACUGCAUGAUGUUGUGAUGUGGAAUACUGAUAACCAAAAAUCAUAAAACCAUGACAUAUAGUUUUUCCUUUACAUAUGGGGUAGAGAAGUGCAAUUCUGAAAGAAGAAUAUGAGUAGAUGAAUAAAUGUUCAACUCUCACAGACCAAUAGUUGCUAUCUGGAGACAUCCAGCCACAUUUCACUGCUGGGCAAACUGGUUCACAUUUCAUUCAAUAUCACAUUGCAUCCAUUGAAGCCAGACUGAUAUAUUCUAUCAUGUUUGUAUUAGCUUUGUAUAAAUCAAAAAUGAACCAAUUUUGUUAGAGGUGAACAUUCAAAACCAGUAUUAGAAGAGAAUCAAAUACUUGACGUGCUGAACCUCAUUAAUUCCUUCACUUUUAAAACUUACUUUCCUUAGAAAAUUCCACAGAAAUUAGAAAGUGAAACAAUGGCUAAGUUGUAUAGCUGUAUACAGCUGUAUAGGAAUAUUUUGCAUUUUAGGCAGAGCUUAUUGCUUCUAUAUUAGCUUGUUGUAUGCUGUCUUCUGACAACAAAGAAUACUCCAGAUUUGUUUCCUCUUGUUCCCCAGCAGAUCUGCUGAAUUCUUGUUUUCUCUCAGAAUCCCUGUGUUAUAUUUUUGUACUCCAAAAAGAAAAAAUAUUUUCAUAUGCAAAAAUGGUUUAAAAAUUCAUUUAUUAUAAAAAUAUGGAGAUUGAAUUAAAAUAGAAGUAACAAAGGCAAUUUUUACAUCAAAGGCAGAAGAUGUUGUAGUGGAAAUACUAAGUCGUGACUUGAACCAGUGAUUGAGGACUGAACCCAGGGGAGUCCAGUUUUCACCUGGAAGGGGUGAAGCCAGGAUCCACCCCUUCCCAGACCUCAUUUAAGGGUUGACAGUGGAGAUGUAUGAUCCAUACUUGUCACAUACUUUAGUAAUACUGGAAUUCCCUUUGUCUGCGGAAACCCAGGAAUUCUUACAGAAGAUGCAUUACUGAGAUGGACAAAACCCCUGAACAGUAAUGAUACAAUGGAAGUUGGUCAAAAGGAGAAGCUCCUUUGGACCAGAUUCGGUGCUCUUCAGCCAGUUUCAGGACCUGUAAAUGCCACUCAAUGAACAUGAUGGACAGUUAAAGAAUAACAAUUUUGCAGAACGAGUGUUAACUAUGACCCGAGGGUAAAGACAGACUUCUGACCGUGCACCCAAAUGUGAGAAGGCGGUCAUUAUCAGGAUGUCUCCAGCAUAACAAAGGCAAAGAGCUAAUGGCAGAGGAAUGAAUGGAGCCACCUAACUACUUCACUGCAUCAGUCAGGAUAACUGAUUUCUUAUUUAAGGAGUACUGAUAGGAGACAGAGGAAAUGCUGUACCUACUACCUAUGCUGUCUUUAUGAGGUAAACAGGUGUAAGCCCAGUAAAGUCAAGAUACCAGGAAAAUACUCUUCAUUGUCACUUUCUCUUAAUUCAAUUUGUAUCUCUUUUUGGACCUAAAAUAAUAAUGUCUAACUCAAAACUCAUUUCAGCUUUUAUUUCAGUAAUAGACAAACUAGAGAUACAAACAUAAAAUAGAGAUGCAAACUGUUUUAAGAACAGAUGAAAAAUGUAUGGCUGGAGUGAGAAACUUUGUGAGAAAAUAAGAGUUAUUGCAAACACAUGGCUUGUUACACUGCUUUCUGUGAGAUCUCACGUGGGAAGACUAAAGGUAAAACAAAUGAAAUAAAAAGUGAAAACAGCACAUUAAAUAUAUUUGUGUAUUUCUUAUGUCGGUAGAUCUAUUGAGUGAUACAUAAGCUUCCAAGUUAUAAAAAGAUUUGACUGAAAAUAAAUGGCAAAAGGGGACACUAUCAAUAUAGUAUGAGUGCAAAGGUUCCAUCUCCUACCAGCCAAAAAGACAGAUGUCCUCAAAUAAUCACUUGAAUUCUUUCUACCAGAACACCUGGAUAAUAAAAUUCACUAAAUGAAGAAUGCAUUUACGUCAGUUAUUGCACUGACAGGGUUAAGAAGCUAAUGGAAAUUAGCCUCAUUAUAUCUAUUUUCCUGUUUCAUCUUCUUGUUGCUGAACAAGUUUUAAGUGAAUGAAUUAACAUGAUUGCUCAUUUCUGUGUAAGCCACAUUUUCAACUUUCUAAGUGUGACCCUCAGCAGCAUAAUCAAAAGUGUGGUUUGUAAGCAAUUCAAGCUUCUUAAAGAAUAAGCACCUCAAAUUUUGCCUCAUAGCCAUCUCUGUGUUCAUAACUGUCAUAAACUAAAAACAUUAAGCAAAGGUAACAAGGUAACAGUUGAUACAAAUUUUACAGCACAACACUAAAUGCUUCGAUAUUUUGAUUUAGAAAGAUUAGCCUAUAUAAAUAAUACUUCAAGAAUACUUGAAGUAUUUUUGCAGAAUGGAAUAGCUAAGCUUGGGGACAGCAGUGCAGAGAAAAUUCUUAUCCAUACAUGUAAAUAGAUCAGAAUAACUGGGAACAAAAGUAGCUUACCACUCAAACAUCGUGGCAAGGAGCAUAUUGGUCUUAACAAUAAAUUAACCUUGCAAAAAACUUCAAUUAUCUAUUCAUAGACUUUCCAACAUAUGUCAAUCAAAUUAAAGGCAACUGAAGAAUACUAACUACAGAAGUUUUAGGAGGCAAGAUCUCUGAACUCUAUAAUAUUUUAAUACAAAGAAAUGCAGGAUAACUACAAAACUCAGAACCUAUUUUCUGCCUAUUAAAACUUGCUAUCAAAUGUGCUUCCUAUGUAAUAAGUGAGAAAUGAUAUUUUCACCUGAUAAUAAAGAUGUUCCAGUUUUAAUCCAGAUGCUCAGUCCAAAAAAAAAAAAAAAAAAAAAAAAAAAAA